AUUGAUCGCUGGCGGCAUGCCUUACACAUGCAAGUCGAACGGUAACAGGUUAAGCUGACGAGUGGCGAACGGGUGAGUAAUGUAUCGGAACGUGCCCAGUCGUGGGGGAUAACUGCUCGAAAGAGCAGCUAAUACCGCAUACGACCUGAGGGUGAAAGCGGGGGAUCGCAAGACCUCGCGCGAUUGGAGCGGCCGAUAUCAGAUUAGGUAGUUGGUGAGGUAAAGGCUCACCAAGCCGACGAUCUGUAGCUGGUCUGAGAGGACGACCAGCCACACUGGGACUGAGACACGGCCCAGACUCCUACGGGAGGCAGCAGUGGGGAAUUUUGGACAAUGGGCGCAAGCCUGAUCCAGCCAUGCCGCGUGCGGGAAGAAGGCCUUCGGGUUGUAAACCGCUUUUGUCAGGGAAGAAAAGGUUCUGGCUAAUACCUGGGACUCAUGACGGUACCUGAAGAAUAAGCACCGGCUAACUACGUG
rnacentral:rRNA from 1 species